UGGCGAAAGCGGCUCUNUGGUCUGUCACUGACGCUGAGGCUCGAAAGCGUGGGUAGCGAACAGGAUUAGAUACCCUGGUAGUCCACGCCGUAAACGCUGAGUGCUAGGUGUUAGGUCCUUUCCGGGACUUAGUGCCGACGCUAACGCAUUAAGCACUCCGCCUGGGGAGUACGACCGCAAGGUUGAAACUCAAAGGAAUUGACGGGGGCCCGCACAAGCGGUGGAGCAUGUGGUUUAACUCGAAGCAACGCGAAGAACCUUACCAGGUCUUGACAUCCCGAUGCCCGCUCUAGAGAUAGAGUUUUACUUUUUGUACAUCGGAGACAGGUGGUGCAUGGUUGUCGUCAGCUCGUGUCGUGAGAUGUUGGGUNNNNNNNNNNNANCGAGCGCAACCCUUAUUGUUAGUUGCCAUCAUUAAGUUGGGCACUCUAGCGAGACUGCCGGUAAUAAACCGGAGGAAGGUGGGGAUGAUGUCAAAUCAUCAUGCCCCUUAUGACCUGGGCUACACACGUGCUACAAUGGUUGGUACAACGAGUCGCAAGCCGGUGACGGCAAGCUAAUCUCUGAAAGCCAAUCUCAGUUCGGAUUGUAGGCUGCAACUCGCCUACAUGAAGUCGGAAUCGCUAGUAAUCGCGGAUCAGCACGCCGCGGUGAAUACGUUCCCGGGCCU
rnacentral:rRNA from 1 species